rnacentral:rRNA from 1 species
GACAGAGGGUGCAAGCGUUGUUCGGAAUUACUGGGCGUAAAGCGCGUGUAGGCUGUUCGGUAAGUCGGAUGUGAAAGCCCUGGGCUCAACCCAGGAAGUGCACUCGAAACUCCCGAACUGGAGUCCUGGAGAGGAAGGCGGAAUUCUCGGUGUAGAGGUGAAAUUCGUAGAUAUCGAGAGGAACAUCGGUGGCGAAGGCGGCCUUCUGGACAGUGACUGACGCUGAGACGCGAAAGCCAGGGGAGCGAACGGG